GAUAGCUACAGCAAAGCAGAAAAAGGGUCAGUCAGCAUCCAAAGGUAGCAAUGAUUCUGCUUUCCCCCUAGACUGACUGCUAGAAGUAAAUUGUCAGGACUAUCUGUGAAUCACCUUUAGGCAAGUGGAUGGAGCUUAUGAGUUUGUCCAUUUGCCACAGAGGCACUCAGAAAAACUCCGCAGCUUUCCCUGUCUCCCUCCCACACCUUGCUGUGUUUUGGAACAGCGAGACAAGAUGCCAGGAAGCCAGAACAAGGACUGGGUCUCAGGGCAGUGAAAGAAAACACGGUGUCUUGGGGCAAGGUCUCUCACUGCUCUCCAGCUAUGUGACACAUGGCAAUGCCGUGCCAAAAGUUGGGGCCAAUGGCUGAGUUUGGCAGCACACUUUACCAUUAGCCAGCAAGGCAACCUAUGGUGACUAGUGUUAAUUCUUAGUUCCAGUAAAGUGUUCAGAAACAGCCCUGUUUCUCCCAUAUUCUCUGGCUCCAGCCCACCUUCCCGUUUAGAACAACUCUGCACAAACUGUUCCAGAUAAGCCUUCUGUCCUUUGUAAAAGGCUCUUUAGCGUGGCUAAAUGCAGGCAAAGGACUUGCUUCUGUUUGCCUAGCUUCAAAAUUAAUUUGUCAUAUUUACUCAGGGGGUGAAUGGCUUCACUAGUUAUCAUCUGUAAAGUGAAUCCUGGCUGGAAGCUACAAAGAACUGAGCCUUUCCACUAUGCCUGCGCAGAAUCGAUUGAGGUACGUGUAAUCAAUCAGGUGGCAAGAGGAGAGGGCAAAGCAUUCACCAAACUAUGCAAGCAAAUGCAAUUUACAAUGAAGAGAAACAACCAUCUGUCUAGCCCAGAGAUAAAGAAGAAUUACAGACUGAAUAAUGUUUAACCGAAUCUCUCAGACCUGGGGAGAAACAGAAAUACCCUAUUCUUGAGGCACACAGCUGCUAAUCAGACUGCUACACUCUUCAACUUCAUCUCAUCCAAAAUGGCUUUGCUCAAUACCCAUAAAAAGCACUGUUGUGCAACAGAAUUUGAACAGGCAAGCAUGAUACUGUGAAUGUUUUACUCCAUUCAUUGCUAAGGUGGCGGGGGCAAGGUGCCUGUCCUUGCCCUACACUGUCCCACACGCUAUUCAAAGACAAGGACUGGUAUCACUUUCUUCCAUUUAGUGCUUCUAUCUGCAGCCUCUCCACCUGGCACUGUCCUUCUCCCAACAUACUCCACCCCCACGGGCUUGUCUCCAAUUUUCCAAAGCACCUGGUACCCACCUGGCACCCAUGUGGCAAAGUUUGGAGGGAGUGGUGGUGGCAUAAGCAACAGCCGAGCGUGGCACAAGCCACAGCCAAGCGUGGCACGGUAGCGUAUGCAUGGUGUGCUGCACAACUUUUUCUGGCAAUCCUCUGUCAGUAAUGAACAUGUUUGUAGCUUGGGCUUGUUGUGGCUUGUUACCACCUCAUCCAGAGAAUAAUACCUAGUUUUGUUUUCUUUCAUAACCUAAAGAGAGAAAAAAAUCCAUGUACCUAUAUGUAAAUUUCCAGUUUGUGAGAAUGUAUUUGCAACACUUCUUUACCCUCAGGUGGAAAGAAAAUCAUGUUAUCCAGCCCACUGAGCAGGUGUGUGUGGAGGGCAGGGGCAAACCCUGGUGAAAGGUAAUGAGGCUGUGAUCUGCCUCACAUCCCUGAGAAGAGAAAUCCAGGUGAGUACCAUCUAAAAUGCCUAAAAUGCUACCUUUUCUUCAAAUAAUUAUUAGAGAUAACCCCAGCAUUGGUGGGCCUGCACCCACCUCCUAUUAAGAGUUCAGUCCUGUAUUGUCUAUGCCCUGGAGCUAUAUAGCACAAGCCACAGAUAACCUGUCCAGAGCCACUGCUGUCUGUUCUGGAUAGAUAAUAGCAGGAGACAAGAAAUGCUCGAGUCUUAAGCUCUGCUACCAAUGCUGGCCUCCCAGGUCUCUGUUGGUCUCUUCCCUGCAGACCCACAGAGGAGAUAAAUCACCUCUGUGGUCUGACACCCUUCACUCUUCCUUCCCCAAAGUGGCCCCUCUCUGGGUGACACGGAAUGGGCGAGUGGUAUGAGCAGGGGCAUGGAGAGGCACCUGUGAAGGUAGCUUUCUCAGCAAGGCAAAACCUAGGGGCCCAAGGGAAGGUUUUUGUGACUUCUUCCCCCUCCUUUUUUUCAGCUAGGGGAUAAGGCAGCCCUUCAGCAGUCCUCUCCCCUCCACAGAACCUGACAGCCACCUCUGCCUACCUCCUCCCAGCCAGGGGGCUCGGGGCCUUCCAGCAGCCCCACUGGCUUUCCCUGCCCUCUCCAGCUGUGGAGAGCAAGGCUGCUCGCCGAGAGCCCCAGAAGGAAAAUGGGGGUGGAAAUCAUGAAAUACCUGUUCUGCUCCCUGCAUUGUGCCUUCCUCUUGGACAGAAAACAUUCAUCUCGAGAACUGCCACACUGUCUCCUUCUGACAGCACUAAAUCAUCUUAAAAAUAAAGUGCUCACUAACUGAAAUGGAGCCUUGUCUCCAUCCCUUUGCAGUGAGGGGAGAGAGAAAGGAAGGAGAAGUGCAAAGAAUGCCCAAGUGCUUUGGGAUGAAAAUACAUAGUUCAGGAAUCAGAGCAGCCCUAAGCAUUACAAAAAUAGCUCAUCAUUUGGAUCCUAUGAUGAUACUGGAUGUGCAUCUAGCACUGAGUCAGAGAGAUCUCAUUUCUUUACAAGGCUGUUGCUCUCAUUCUUGGCCAUAAAGCCAUGUAAAUAACAUAUGGUACAAACAGCGUCACUGAAACCUGCCAAAGUUUUGAAAUACCUACAAGUUAACUACUAAAACCAAGCCACCUGUCCAGUGACUUCUACUUGAGCUGUUCCAGUUCAUCAUCCCUAUAUUAUUAUAAUAUGUUGAUGGAACACCAUAAAGGUACGUAGUCAGAUAAGACAUUCCUCCUGCCCUGAAGAAAUUACCCUCUAAAGAAGAUGAGCGCACACAAGGCAAAACCCCUCAAGAGGUAGCUUAUCUGAGCCUCAGCGGUUGCUUGGAGAAGGAGGACUGACGGAAACAUUUCCAGAGCAGCUUCUGCUUUGUGGUUAGCUGUGUGAACAUGGGAGAAGGAUGGUGACGUGUAUUUUAUUGUGGUUGGAGAAACAGCUUGGGCCUGUCCUAUGCAAGAGGAUUUCUGAGAGUUCUCUGAAUAGCCUGGAUACUUGUCAACCUAAUGACAUAACCAAUAGCUGCUUAAUUGAGACUCUAUUAACUCUUUUUUUCUGCAGGUUAGUUGUCUGGCUACUAAUUUCCUGUUGCAAUGGGUCCCUUCUUACUGCAGGGCCCAAAGAUCCUUCCAGGCUCUGGUUCUCUAACUGUUUCUGUAGAAGUUUAGCCACUCUGGUCUGUUCCUCUCUAUGCUCCUCUCUGGGAACUUGGCCCACUUGGUAGGAGGCUUUAAAGAAGCCAGCUUUCACUGGGUUCUUCCGAGCAGUCAGCAUCAGAACUGGCAGAGCUUUUCUUGGGUGUUCCCUGGCACCCUGUAAAUGGUGAGCUGCUAGGUGGCGAGCGAACAGAAUCCUCUCAGAAAACAGCAAAGAGGAGAAGGAAAGCAACCCCACCCAAAGGCUGAGAGUGACCCUGCUGGAAGUCACAAAGACCCCUGGACUCACUCUUCCUCAUGCCCCUCUUGCUGCUUCUACCCCAGACGUGCAGGAGAGCUGUUUAUGCACCUCAUGAAAUUGCAUCAUUAAGCCCUUCAUUACGUAAGCAUCAACAGGCAAUAUGAGGUGAAGAUAUGAUGGCACAGCUAAAGCAUCUGCUAUGGAGUCAGGACUUCCAGCUGCUAUAUCAAGCUUUCCCACUGACCUGGGGUAAGGUAAUCAAGAGACUCCUCAAAAUCUGGGAAGCUGCUUUUUCACAGGACUGCUCUGGCUUGCUCUCUAAAUUCAGAUCUGCACUGCACAGAUCUGCAAAAGAAUGCAGGCAUAUAGCACAAAAAUUACAUGAGAUUUAGACACUGAAGUAAAAACUUAACCCGAAACAAUCUCA